CGAUCCUAAGACAUAGGGAAGUUCCGUUUCAAAGCGCGCCCUCGUGCGCCGUCCGUCGAAAGGGAAGCCGGUUAACAUUCCGGCACCUGGAUGUGGAUUCUCCACGGCAACGUAACUGAACGCGGAGACGUCGGCGGGGGUCCUGGGAAGAGUUAUCUUUUCUUCUUGACGGCCUAUCACCCUGAAAUCGGUUUGUCCGGAGCUAGGGUUCAACGGUCGGCAGAGCCCCGCACCUUUGCGGGGUCCGGUGCGCCCCCGACGACCCUUGAAAAUCCGCGGGAAGGAAUAGUUUUCACGCCAGGUCGUACUCAUAACCGCAGCAGGUCUCCAAGGUGAAAAGCCUCUAGUUGAUAGA
rnacentral:rRNA from 1 species